rnacentral:rRNA from 1 species
GUGGGGAAUCUUAGACAAUGGGGGCAACCCUGAUCUAGCCAUGCCGCGUGAGUGAUGAAGGCCUUAGGGUCGUAAAGCUCUUUCGCUGGGGAAGAAAAUGACGGUACCCAGUAAAGAAACCCCGGCUAACUCCGUGCCAGCAGCCGCGGUAAUACGGAGGGGGUUAGCGUUGUUCGGAAUUACUGGGCGUAAAGCGCGCGUAGGCGGAUUGGAAAGUUGGGGGUGAAAUCCCGGGGCUCAACCCUGGAAUGGCCUUCAAAACUCCCAGUCUUGAGGUCGAGAGAGGUGAGUGGAAUUCCGAGUGUAGAGGUGAAAUUCGUAGAUAUUCGGAGGAACACCAGUGGCGAAGGCGGCUCACUGGCUCGAUACUGACGCUGAGGUGCGAAAGCGUGGGGAGCAAACAGGAUUAGAUACCCCAGUAGUCC